GGAGAGGAGAAACAACACAGUUCAAGUUAGACCGGACUAACAGAGUCUGAGACUGAGCUGAUCCACAUUAAGGCUGCAGUACUGGACUGUAGAACCACAACAUCCUACUCUGUUUAUUUUACGGAAGUCUGGCCUCCAGUGCAGUGCAUUUGAUUUUGGGAACAUUGCCCCCUCCUGACAAAAGGGAGUGCCUGCAUAUAUUAAAACAAUCCCGUGGGCUGAGGAUGACAAGACAAGUAACCGUGUAGCUGUAGUCAGAGUGUGAUCCUAGUCUGAGACUCUGUUCCAUCUGAACACCAGGUUACUAACACUGGAACAGAGGGAUCAUUAUACAAUAUUGUGAAAAUGUUUUGGGUUUUUUUUUACGAUUUACCACAAGGUCAACGUCAUUGUAAAAUAUUUCCAGCUGAUCUUUAUUAUUGUUCAAACUCAUACAUUGACAAAACUCCUAUAUUUAUCAGGGCUUUAAUUAUUUAUUAAUGUUUUAUUUAUUGUGUACAGAUUUCAAUUAGUGCAGACUGAUACACUCAAUUAUUUAUCAUAGAUGUUUGAAGUGUAGUCUACAUUUUUCCAGUAACUUUUAGUUGGCAUCGAUCCAUUUUUCCACAGCUGUGAAUACGUUGUCUUUAAUGAAAUGAAUGAUCUGUGUGGUUUGACUGUUUCAUUAUCUACGUUAGUCAACAUGGAGACGAGGUGCACCACUGUUCAGGAGGCCUGGUUCUGACCCAGACAUGUUCAACAGAGCACGAAUAAUGGAUGUGGCAAUGACAUAACAAAACGAUGAUACGCAGAUAUUUUAUAGUGACUUUUAUUUUAUUUUGCAUCUGAUAAAAACAUUAAAUGUUGGAAAUAUAUAGGGCACCGACGGGGGGGGGGGUGUCAUUGUUGAUGUCUCACCUUCGUAUUUACGUUUACUUUUAUGUAGAAACUAAUCUGUUGUUGUUGGGUUUUGCUGCAGGGUUUCAGUGUAUGAAGCCGGAGGAUUAGCAGAGAAACGAUGACGUGCUCAUCUGCAGAGGACUAACAACAAAGUUUGAUUUAUAAGGACUUAUCCUUGGUAACAACACACAGGUAAAUCCAUGAAAUGUAAAAUGGAGGAUAGCCUGAUGUUAGCGGCCGAUACUUGUGACAGACAGCACUCAGACGCUGACUCAUGGAAUUCAUCACAGAGGAUCGGAACAGCCCUGCCGUCUGCUGAAAACCUGUCAGUCAAGGAUACAGCUGUGAGGAAGACGAGGACGAAGACAAAGGAAAUGAAGAAGGUUUGGUUAAACAGUGGGAAAGCACAAAAUGUUUUCUAUAGAAGAGAGAUAAAGAAACAGUGGACAACAAACCUACACAAGUGUAGAUUUAUUUGUGGAAACGAGACGGAGAGAAAGUCAAAAAGAGAGAAAUCAUAAAAAGAAAAGUGCAAGAAAGAAGAAGAAGAAUUCAGAUCAGAGCUGACCUGUAAAAUCAAGGUGGAAAAGUUCCACCGAUUCCUGAACUUGUUUCUUUUCUUCAAUGGUAAAAAACAGAAUUAUUGAAUCAUUUG